rnacentral:rRNA from 1 species
GCAUGCUUGCCGGAGUGUCU